rnacentral:rRNA from 1 species
AGAACUUAGCAGAGAUGCUUUGGUGCCUUCGGGAACUCUGAGACAGGUGCUGCAUGGCUGUCGUCAGCUCGUGUUGUGAAAUGUUGGUUAAGUCCCGCAACGAGCGCAACCCUUAUCCUUUGUUGCCAGCGGUUAGGCCGGGAACUCAAAGGAGACUGCCAGUGAUAAACUGGAGGAAGGUGGGGAUGACGUCAAGUCAUCAUGGCCCUUACGAGUAGGGCUACACACGUGCUACAAUGGCGCAUACAAAGAGAAGCGACCUCGCGAGAGCAAGCGGACCUCAUAAAGUGCGUCGUAGUCCGGAUUGGAGUCUGCAACUCGACUCCAUGAAGUCGGAAUCGCUAGUAAUCGUGGAUCAGAAUGCCACGGUGAAUACGUUCCCGGGCCUUGUACACACCGCCCGUCACACCAUGGGAGUGGGUUGCAAAAGAAGUAGGUAGCUUAACCUUCGGGAGGGCGCUUACCACUUUGUGAUUCAUGACUGGGGUGAAGUCGUAACAAGGUAAGCGUAGUGCU